rnacentral:rRNA from 1 species
CCUACGGGAGGCAGCAGUGGGGAAUAUUGGGCAAUGGGCGCAAGCCUGACCCAGCAACGCCGCGUGAAGGAAGAAGGCUCUCGGGUUGUAAACUUCUUUUCGCAGGGACGAAGCAAGUGACGGUACCUGAGGAAUAAGCCACGGCUAACUACGUGCCAGCAGCCGCGGUAAUACGUAGGUGGCAAGCGUUAUCCGGAUUUACUGGGUGUAAAGGGCGUGUAGACGGGGAUGCAAGUCAGAUGUGAAAAGCACGGGCUCAACCUGUGGACUGCAUUGGAAACUGUGUGUCUUGAGUACUGGAGAGGUAGACGGAAUUCCUAGUGUAGCGGUGAAAUGCGUAGAUAUUAGGAGGAACACCAGUGGCGAAGGCGGUCUGCUGGACAGCAACUGACGUUGAGGCGCGAAAGCGUGGGGAGCAAACAGGAUUAGAUACCCGAGUAGUC